GAAUGUGUAGCUCAGAGGUAGAGUGCAUGCUUAGCAUGUGUGAGGAUCUGGGUUCAGUCCCAGCACCUUCC
rnacentral:tRNA from 1 species